GAUGAACGCUGGCGGCGUGCUUAACACAUGCAAGUCGAACGGACAGCCAGGGAGCUUGCUCCCUUCACGUCAGUGGCGAACGGGUGAGUAACACGUGAACAAUCUGCCUCGAACUCUGGGAUAAGCUCGGGAAACGGCGUCUAAUACCGGAUAAGAUGCUGGAGCGCAUCGUCCCCUCGUGGAAAGCGGUUCUGGUGGGGCUGAGCGCGGGGUCUAUCAGCUUGUGGGUGAGGGAACGGUUCACCAAGGACGCGACGGGUAGCCGGCCUGCGAGGGGGACCGGCCACAAUGGGACUGAGAGAGGGCCCAGACUCCUACGGGAGGCAGCAGUGGGGAAUAUUGCACAAUGGGCGCAAGCCUGAUGCAGCAACGCCGCGUGCGGGAAGACGGCCUUCGGGUUGUAAACCUCUUUUAGCAGGGAAGAAGCGGAAGUGACGGUACCUGCAGAAAAAGCACCGGCUAACUACGUG
rnacentral:rRNA from 1 species